AUUCCUAAUUUUAAUUCUCAUUUAUUUCCUCCUCAGCCUCCAUUCCUCUCUUCUAUCAUUCAUCGACGCUUCCUUUUCUUCAUUCGAUCCAAAGUGGUAUGUGAUUCAUCCAUUUCUCAUCCGCCAUUUCUUUCAAUCGGCAUUUCAAACUUUCAGUCGACGGCCGUUUCUUCCAAUCGGCAUUUCAAACUUUUAAUUGUGGUUUACAGUUGUAUCAAUCACCGCCAGAAUGGAUUUGAUGAAUUUGAAUAGAAAUUGAAUCCAUUUAGAUGUGGUAUAGAGAAUUUAUGAAGUGGUUUGCACUUUCGCCUGUACAGAUGCAAUCCAUUACACAAAUCAUGAUAUGAUCAAUCUUUUGAAUGAGCAUGUUGUUAAACCUCUGAUGAUCUCUCAUAAUUUCUUAUUCUUAUUGUGCAUUAUAUAAACUGAAUAUUGUUGGUUGUAAAUCCUCUUGAUCUA